rnacentral:rRNA from 1 species
UACGUAGGGGCCUAGCGUUGUCCGGAUUUAUUGGGCGUAAAGAGCUCGUAGGCGGUUUGGUGAGUCGGGUGUGAAAUCUCCACGCUCAACGUGGAGGAGCCACCCGAUACUGCCAUGACUAGAGUCCGGUAGGGGAGUGUGGAAUUCCCGGUGUAGCGGUGAAAUGCGCAGAUAUCGGGAGGAACACCAGUAGCGAAAGCGGCUACCUGGCCCAUUCUUGACGCUGAGGCGCGAAAGCUAGGGGAGCAAACGGG